AGGCUGCGGCCUGCGCGCGCAUAUUCAAAAUGGCUGUCGAUUGGAAAAUUCACGUGUUCACAAUCACAUAAUUUUGGUUUCUGUUUUGGGGUAAUUUGUGAUGCAUUUGACGAUUCCUGGGCAUGGAAAUAUAUGGAACGUACGAGCAAGAUCACCCCAACGAGGUUGUAUGAUUGCCUUCACCGUUCGUCUUCCUACGCUCAAGAUGUCCAUCAUUCCUGCUUUCUUCACCAGCUCAGUGCUCAGUCAUCUCAUCUCAUACCUGUCACUCCAACAAACAAAAUAUCAAUUAUCCUCAAGACAAUCACCAGUCACCAACCCACCUGCAGCUGUUAGAUGUAUCCACCCAGGCACCCAAUCUUCACAACUGUCCAUCAACUGUCGAGUAUCAUGGCAGUCACAGGAACCAAAGACACAGGAUUCUGUGACUCAGCACCACUCAUGCAAAUCAGCAGUGGUUAGCUCCCCACCAGCCCAUCCAUUUACUUUGAGGACGCUCUUAUCUCUACAUGUAUGGUCAAGAGAAAUCCUACUUCUUCACACGUUGCCGGACAUCACUGCAGCAGGCUGCUCACUGAACAGCAAACUAUUCAACAGUUGAUCUGAUGAGCUACAUGGACACAGUCUGCGACGAACAGGAGAUAUGUCUCGUUUGGAUGUCAUGGGGUACCAUUGAUCAAUACCACACACAUGUUCCCUUCUACUGUACAUCCCUAUUGCCUGUAUGGAAUUCAGCAGCUACACCGCAAGACCUGAACUCACUCGAAUUGACUUCCUCCAAAACUCAGUUGCCUUUAGACUCUCAAUCUCACAGUGCCAUGAGUUGCUGCUUCUCAUUUUUUGCCAAACAAGUGGAAGGUCUGCAGGAACUGCUUGAAGAGCUGUGUUUUUCUCCAACUGGACAAAGAGUGACUCCAAGGAUGCCCAACUCUUGAGCUGCAUGCUUUCGCCAGUCACACCAAGGGCUUCCAGGACUGUUGAGAAAUGAUAUGGGAAUGAUACGUGUCAUACACCAGAGGUCUUUUUUUACCAGUCUCUGCCAGACUCAAUUGAUUGCGAUCUGGCAGAAACUUGUAAAGACCUCUUUGGAAAUGAAAGCCUCUUUUGAAAUGGAACUCUCGUGAAAUGGAACUCUCUUGAGCUUAAACUAUAUUGGCAUGGAACUUUUUUGAAAUGGAACUCUUUUAACACGAAACUCUGUUGAAAUGGAAUUUUAUUGAAUCAGAACUCUUUUGAGAUGGAACUCUGUUGAAACAGAACUCUUUUGACACGGAACUCUUUUGACACGGAACUCUUCUGCCAUUGAACUCUUUUGCAAUGGAACUCUUUUGGAAUGGAAGUCUUGACACAGAAAUCUUUUGAAAUGGAACUUUUUGAAACCGAACUCUUUUGAAACGGAACUCUUUUGAAACAAGACUCUUUUGACACGGAACUCUUCUGCCAUUGAACUCUUUUGCAAUGGAACUCUUUUGGAAUGGAAGUCUUGACACAGAACUCUUUUGAAACGGAACUCUUUUGAAACGGAAGUUCUUAUAUUUAAGAAGUAGAGGUCUCUCUUUCCUUUAGUUCACUACAGGUCUUCAGAAAUCACCUCUGUGGCCUUUAUGCUGAUUGGGUUGCCUCGGGUAACCACAGUUUGAAAGAUGUCAAAAAUAUUGAAAAGCUGAUGCAAAAUUUGUCGUUCACAAUGUUUGAUGAUGAAUUAGCACAAAAGUCAUCAUGUAAAAAAAAAAAAUGGACAUGAUCCUCUAAAACAUUGUCUGCAAAGAAAAUUGUUGCACAAUAGCCCUCAAACCAUAAUAUUCUUUUGGUGAAUCUAUGAUUGAUGGCACUCAUAGCUGAGAUCAAAUCAAACCACAGUUCAUGAAGAUGGAGGAGAGGCCUCUACAAAUGCCACGUAACCAGCCUCUCACGGCAGUCAGUUGUUCAGGCACGGUUCAUAAAAGUGAUAAGGCAAUGGUUUCAUUGACCAAAUUCAGUUCUAUUCAUUAGCUUGAAACGGUCACUUACUGCAAAAAAGAGGGGAAAGCGCUGCAUUUCAAUUUUGUAAAGUUGCAUUCUUUUUCGGUGCUUUCUUGAAAGAAUCAAACAAUUUCUUGGACAAGAUUCGCUAAAACCAAGGACUGCUCAAAAUGCAGAAAUCCUGUCGUAGACAAAUGUUUAUGGUACAAUGUUUAUAACAGAGAGAGCUGGUUACGUUCGAUUAAUUGAUAUUUUAAUCUGAAACAUUUCUUUAUGACAUUGCCUGAUUGGUAAUAGCUGGGUGCAAGAUUGUUUUCUCUCUAACAACAUUCUUUAAAAACAAACUAUGUUUACAAAUAAUUUGAACCCACUUCUUUGAACCAAACUUUUGAUAUUUGCUUUAUUGAACCCAAAAUGUCUCAUUUAGACUAAAAUUUGGUUCAAAUUUAAAUCAAAAACUGUUUUAGAUUUUCAAAAGCCCAAAUUUCCUUGCAGUAAAACUAUGAGCUGGAAAUACUCUGUCAAAAAUCCAAUGUUGCCCACAAAUAUACAAAAUUAACUUUUUUGUUUCUGUAUCUUCAAAUUUGUCUUCAGAAAUGAGUUUUCGAAAUCCUUGAUGCAUUUUCCAGUACAUCAUAACUUAGCUACCACUAUCAGCAGCCAUGCCAAUCUUGUACCCAGCUUUUGUUUAUCAAGUAUAGUCAGCACUGGUCCAAUGUAUUAAGACAAAGUUUGGCUGCGAAUGAAAAAUAUUGGCGUUAAUUGCACAUUUUCCAAAAAGUUGCAAACUGCGUAUUUUCAAUUUCAAAGCACAAACACUCAGAAAAUCACAAAAAUAACUGUUAUUUGAAAGUUUCCUUUUCACGAAGCUGUUUUUCCACCAAGUGCGCAUGUUGACAACCUCAAGAAAGCAGUUUUUACUUGUUCAUUUGUCAAGCAAUACAAAAACAAAUGCUAAACCACUGUUCAUUACUUACUGAGUGCCAAUGAUCAAAACAAUAUCCUCGCUCUAAAAAACAAACAGAAAAAAAUGAUGCUUCCAGUGCUGGCUGUACAUACAUGUACAUUCCAUAGUCUUUUAUGAUAAUUUGUUGAGUAACCAACCAAUAUACUUGACGUUUAACCAACAGGCAAUGUUCUGAUAUACUCGAGCCCAACGCAUGCAAGUCCCCCCGGGGCGUGCACGUGUGGUGUUCCCCGCCCGCAGAUGCCGGCUCGUCUGGUGAGUUGCCCCUGUCUGCAUUGACGAGUGGUUGGUUGUUCAAGGUGUGUGCUAGCUUCCUGAUCUUGUGGUCUGGAUAAUCGUGGAUGACUUGGUCGACUUCAACAUGGUAAGGACCCUUUUGAACUUUGACAAUUAGUUUGCCUUUCUGCAAAGGAGAUGUCUUUUUGGCUGUUUCUUUACCGAGUGUUGCUGUGGAAAUUAUGUACCAUCUAUAACUCUGGAGAUUGCAAAUCUAGAGAUCAAUCGAGCAUCUUCUCUUGAUGUCCCGCUUGCAUUUCAAUAGUUCCAUGGCAUCAUGUUGAUCCAAAUGAUCUGCUAACAAAUGGGUACUGUUGCUGGUAUAUCUGAUGUUCUUCAAUGCGGUUUGAUUUUCGGACAGGUGUUUCAGCCGCUAUUUAUGUGAAUAACUUCCAUGGUAUAACUCUGAAAUCUCAUUGCCUUUUAUUGUGUCAUCAUGUACAAUCAGUUCUCUCAUAGAGUGUGUUCAAAUCUUAGACAUGCACGGAUAAAAAUAAGGAAAUAUCAAAAGUAAAUCGUUAAAAUUAACUGAAUCAAACGUCAAAUCUGUUCUAAAUUCAGCAUCUAAUGUAUCACUUUAAAAAAUGAGUUUGCAAAUAAUAUUUGUGUUUUUGGCAGCAUACGAAUCUUAACUUGAUAAACAUAAGCAAGUGAUAUACAAAAUUUCCAAAUUUAAAAAAUGGCAGCUUCUCUGCCUGAAAUAUUCAAAAGGCGAAAUUUUGGUGUCGUAAAAAAAGAGAAAAAAACGAAGAAGAAAAUCAUCCUCACUUCAAAGCAACUUUAAAAGAGACUUUUAAAAAUUCAACGCUCUUUUAAAAACACAGAGGAAACAAAUUCUCAUUAAAUUAAAAAAGCAAAGAAUGGGCUAUUGCCAUCAUAUUUAUCAUCAAAACUGCUGUACGAAAGAAAAACUGAGAGAAAAUUUUAAGAAACUUUGAAAAAAAAGGAGAGAAGGCCAAACUCUUCCAAUUGUAGGGGAGAAGUCCUGGUGUGCAGAGGGGGAGAACCAUGCUGCUUCUUGGCCAGAUGGAAGAUGUGGUGGACAAAAAGGCCCCCUGCAUCCUAACAAAUAGAAGCUGUGGUGUCAGACACAGGGAGCCAGUCCUGCCAGAUGGAUCCAUGGUAAGUUUAAUUGAAGUUUGUAGAAUGAAUUCAUGCACUGUGUACAUCCUCAUUGCUUGCUAAACCCAACGGUAACAUGUGUAUCUCAUGGCUAGGAGUAAACGCUAUCUGUCUGCAUUACAGGAAAACAGUAUUGUGCAUUAUAGUCUUCAGUCUGUGGCAAUACCAAUUAGCCUCAAUCUGGCGCUUGAAAAAAUAAGAGAAACGAAAUGUCAGCUUUUUGUCAUCUGUAGUCAAAGUUGGACGAAGGCAUUGACAUGACAAUUCUAGGAACUGAUCAGUCUUCAUAAACUUUUGAUAUUGCCGAAGAGAUGUCAAUACUCUUCUUAUGAGUGCCCAUUGAGUCCUACAAUCAUACAGAGAUGCAACCAGUGUACUGGUGCGCAAACAUCUCAACCAAUCUCAGUAAACUUUCUGGACUCGACACUCACUGCAAGCACUCAAAGUGCUGCUACUCAACUCAUGGUCAAAUGUUGUGACCUCUGCACUCCAAUCCUAUGAUUGGAUAAAACCUUGGGCUUGAGCAAUCACUGCAGCCCCCCAUAGAUUCAUCACCUACCUGAUAGGUAGUUGCAUGGGGAAAUCCCCUACCAGGUCUGUUUAAGCGGACCUUUUUGUGAUCACGACUUUGUGAUCUGAGCUGCUCACUUGUCUGCAGUGAUCGAGAGCCAUAUCAAAGUGUGCUCUUGAGCAAUUGGAAAUUAACGUGCACUUUCAAAAAAGCCUUGGAAAUCUAGGCUUGCAAUAAAAGCAGUUCUAUCUUUGUUAUUGACACAGAUUAAGCUGAAAAGCCUUGAAGCAAAAGCUCUUUUCAGAUGCACGACUCCUUUCAGCGCAAAACUGAAAUUGUUUUAUUCUCAUUCUCUGUCAGUAUGCAUUUUUUUAAGUGAGAAAUGAGACGUUAAAACAAAGGCCAUGCCAUUGUGUCCACCUGUUAGUAUUCGUUAUUCAAUUGAUUGUAAAAACUAAGAAGAAGACAUUUAACUUUGAAUGUCUUUGACGAGUCCUGGAAGAUCUUCACCUUAGCUUUGACUUUAAAUCAAAACUUUGAAAUACUCAGUUGUAUUUUGUCUUAUUAGCCAGUUUGCACCUUUGCACGCUACCUCAGAAAAGAAAAUUCAGUGUUGUACACUUCCAUUCAGAAGAAAGUUAUCCUAUGCUCUAAGUGUAUCGGUACUAGAACAUGAACCUGAAAAACUUUCCCUGUAAGUCGUUUGUGUUCAACAUCUCAUCAGAGAGCAGUAAUUGAAUACAAGGCUGAUAUCUGACAAUUGUAAAUCUUCCUGCAAAGAAGUCAAACAUUGAGUAGAUUUUACAGAACCUACCAUAAAAUUGGUCUGCUCCGAGUUAGACCAAAUUGGUGCCACUCGCCAAGAAACAAACACUCAAAAUUGUGAAUCUUUGAAAAGGUUGCUGAAACCAAUCUGACAUUGAAAUUAAUUUAUCUUGUCUCACUAGCAGAGGACUAAAAUUUAUUUCUCACUAUCUCAUGACUUUGCAAAAAUAAAAAGUGCAAAGUGACAUCGCACUUUACAUCAAACUGACACACUUGAAUCUAAUUUCAACUUGACCAAAACUGAAAUUCUAGAAAUAUGGUCUUUGGGGCAUAACGGUAGUGUGUCAUUUGUCAAAUAAGGUGAAGAUCUUUCAGGACACAUGUUGGUAUUGCCACAGACUGAAGACUAGCUAUGCUCCAUGCUUUAACCCUUUAGUGACCAUACCUCUCUCGGUGUGCAACGCUACUUCUCCACGUGCAUUUUCCAGACUGAAGAAGACUAGGCUGGUAUUGUGUAUUGGGACUUAUUUGAAUGCUAAACCAACUAAAAUCCUGUUGAAAAUGCAGUUCUUAUUCAAGGAAAAUAUGUGAAGUGUAAUUUUUUUUCGAAUACUAAAAUAGCUAAUCAGCAAUUAAAAAAAAAUCAGAAAAUGCUGGUCGUCCUUUGUCACUGGCAAUUCAGUUCUCCGGUGGCUAAGGUCACUAAAGGGUUAAAAAGAAAAGUCAAAGGUUUUUUGAGUCAUUGUUCAGGUCAAGUUUAGAUUCCGUUUAGUACUAAGAAAGCUGCACGAACAUACAAAUGUAGGGCAGGUUUCUAAGCAAAUAUGCAAUCUCUUCAGUUUCUUCAGUCUCUUUAAAAUUGAUAAAACAACUCUUAGUAUUUUCAUUUGUUAUUAUCAACAAGCUAAAAGGUAAUAUUAACAAUUCUGUUCAAGGCAUACUUCAACAAACCUCUUUAAUUCAAUAUUGCAGCAAAUAAAGACGUCACAGAGUUUGAAUGCAUUAUUUUUUAACAUUGAGCAGAGCAUGUAGUAUCUGAAUAUUUGUCCCUGUCAUAUGUAAUGAUUCAUUGCAUUUCAUGUAAAUAUCGCUAAAGACCAUCUCUGAGAACAUUAAUGAGUACAAUGCAGUGAACAGCGAAUAAAACAUGAUGUGAUAAAUAAAUUAUACAAAAUUGUACGUAGGGUCAAAAUCUGGAAAAUAAAAUAAAUUUAACCAAAUUACAAAUGUAGGUACAUAAACCUAAUUACUAAAAAAUAAAAACGUUGAACACUUCACAUAAUGUUCAGUAGACGCCUUUGACAUGACUGAAUUAAGGAGUAAAUAAACACUUAAAUAAACAACUCAGGACAGCUCAGUAUGAUAAAAUGAAAUUGGAAAACUUGCACAUUUUCUUAGCCAGAAAAUAAUAUUAAGGUUCAAGUCAGUUGAAUAAUUUAUAGAAAUAUAGUCAGCCCACUAGGGAAAAAACAAGCUGUUUUUUUUGUCUUUAUAGGGUUUGUUCUAUAAACUUAAUGUACAAGUGAGUCAAACUAAUUUAACUUGAUAGCCAACUGGGACAGGAAUAUUUCCUUUUUUCCAUGGAAUAUUUUUGCAAGCAUGCAUUUUAACAGUGUUCCUUACUUUAUACCCAUUAACCUUUACUGGGGUAUACUCAGAGAGAUCUAAAAUAACUAGGACUUAUUAAUUUUGUUGACGUCAAUUGGGUUGAAUCUCAGUUCAUGUAGGUACACCAGGCUCUGUGUAACUGUAAGAGGAUACAUUAUAUAACAUUGUCCCAAGAAAGAAACAUGUAGGUUUAGCAUGUUUAGCCUGUAAAAUUAGUUCUUUUUUGUCAUUCCUCUUUUAAGUGUUUCAAAAGUGAAAGGUCAGUCUUGUCUUAUAGGUUGUAAGGGGCGGGUCCCAGGAUAAAUCUUAAAAUGAAUGGCAGUUUUGCUGAUUGAAUGGUUUCUGACAAAAUGCAUACUUUGAAAGAGCCUUAUUUUGAAAUUCUGCUCUUUUAUUUGACUAACUUAAACUUGCAAUUCACUUAACCAAAAACGACCGUGUCAAUCCUUCUGAUACGCAGUCAUCUUGAUUCUAAAUUAUGGCAGUGUUCCAUUUUCGAAUCCUGCAGGAGCACUCAAUAUUGUUUGCGAGACAAAAUGGUUGGUCUAGUUCACUUGCUAAACAAAGUGCAGAUAAAGUGAGUGUAAUUUUCAAUCCAAUCCGUUUUGGUCAGUCGAGAAACCUAGGAAGUCUUUUGCCCAGUUUUGCGUUCUGCAUGCCUAAAUAUCACUGAAAUUCCUUCUGAGUCAGUAGCAAGUGUCUUGUUGCAGAAUCAAUCUCAGAAACUGCCAUUAAUUUGUCCUGGGACCUGCCUAGGUUUGCAUGUGAGCAUAAAUGUGCAAUAUCUGUUGUAAUGUAGACAUGUAGCAAUACAGGGCGAGUCAAAAAGAAAGUGACCAAAUAAGAAAAAAGGCUUUUAAAACACGUUGCUUGCUCCAUUUCAUAAAAAUGACAUAGGAAUAGAGCACAUGUCAUUGACUAGUAAGUGUGAAAAUUUCUCGCAAUUUUGCGUACUCUAUUCCAAAGUUACGUCUAUUUUAAUAAAAAGAUCACACAAUUCAGCUGUCCACCACUGAUCAUUUACCGUUCUACGAACUGAUGAAUACUCAUGAAAUACAUGGACGUUUUCCCACCUUGAUGAAUGAACGAAAAUUUGAAAAAAAAACCUGACGAAACUCGUUAUCACUAUUUCAGGAAAAUAAAAGAGUUGACUUUACUUGUUCCUCAGAUUCAAAACACAACAUCUGACAGAAAAAAAAGAUAAUGUUUCAGUCUUCACCCAAAUGAUCAAAAUCUCAUUUGUAUUUCAAUGCCUGUGUGUAAUCUGUAAUUAUCACUCCACUCAAUAGCUUCCAAUGGCAUUCCAUAAACCGCUAUAAAUUAAUAUAAAUAGGUUCCUCAGGAAGCCUGAAUCAAUUUCAGUGAUUAAGACAUUUUUCAUUGAUGUUUAAAAUUUGACCGCUUUUUAAGAAAAAAAAAUCAUUAAUCCAGGUCACUUUCUUUUUGACUCGCCCUGUAUGUUUACUCCAAAUGCCAUGAUACACAUGUGGGUUUAGCAAGCAAAACAGAUGAGGAUGUAUGUUGUCAUUGUACAGUGCAUGAAUUAAUGAAAGCUUCAAUUAAACUUGACCAUGGAUGGCCAUGGCGGGACAAGGCUGUCCCUGUGUCAUGAUGAUGCCACAGCUUCUGAGGAUGCUGAGGGGCAGAUUGCCACCACAUCAACAGUGGCGUAGCUAGAAUGAAGGAGGGGCCACAA
rnacentral:lncRNA from 1 species